rnacentral:rRNA from 1 species
GACGAACGCUGGCGGCGUGCUUAACACAUGCAAGUCGAACGGAAAGGCCCUGCUUUUGUGGGGUGCUCGAGUGGCGAACGGGUGAGUAACACGUGAGUAACCUGCCCUUGACUUUGGGAUAACUUCAGGAAACUGGGGUAAUAACGGGUAAGAGGUCCUGCCGCCUGGGGGGGGGUUGGAAGGUUCGGCGGUUGGGGAUGGACUCGCGGCUUAUCAGCUUGUUGGUGGGGUAGUGGCUUACCAAGGCUUUGACGGGUAGCCGGCCUGAGAGGGUGACCGGCCACAUUGGGACUGAGAUACGGCCCAGACUCCUACGGGAGGCAGCAGUGGGGAAUAUUGCACAAUGGGCGGAAGCCUGAUGCAGCAACGCCGCGUGCGGGAUGACGGCCUUCGGGUUGUAAACCGCUUUCGCCUGUGACGAAGCGUGAGUGACGGUAAUGGGUAAAGAAGCACCGGCUAACUACGUG